rnacentral:misc_RNA from 1 species
GAUGAAGAACGUAGCGAAAUGCGAUAAGUAAUGUGAAUUGCAGAAUUCCGUGAAUCAUCGAGUCUUUGAACGCAAGUUGCGCCCGAAGCCAUUAGGCCGAGGGCACGCCUGCCUGGGCGUCACACGUCGUUGCCCCCCCAUCUAAUCCUUCGGGAUUGCGGGGGGCGGAUGAUGGCCUCCCGUGCGCCUCGUCGCGCGGUUGGCAUAAAUGCCAAGUCCUCGGCGACGCACGCCACGACAAUCGGUGGUUGCGAAACCUCGGUUGCCCGUCGUGUGCGGUCGUCGCGCAUCGAGGGCUCGAAAAAAUUGCCGGGCUCCGGCUCGACUUUCAACGCGACCCCAGGUCAGGCGGGGUUACCCGCUGAAUUUAAGCAUAUCAAUAAGCGGAGGA